CAGUUAAUCUUUCUCCUCUUCCCAUCUCUCAGAGUUACCCUAAAAGCCAUUUUGUCUUAGCUGAUCAGUGGAGUGGACAUGAGUAUUUCUCCAGCCAGCCAUCAAAUAAACGUCACAUAUUAGUGCUAGGGUAUUUUGUAUGUCAGGUUUUUUUUAAAGAUGCCUUUACUCAUUCUAGUGAUUUCAGUCUAUUUUAAGCAGAGGAAUUUUUAGUCUUGGGUAGUCAUUUAACUAACCAUCCUUUUAUGUUUCUUCUGCAGCAUUGGAAGCAAAGUUGUACUACUUUGUAGCAAAAAUUAUUACAGUCUGUGUGGUCCAUGGAGGAGUUGCCCACCAUUUUUUCUCAGAAAGGCUGUUUUAGCAAUUUGCGGGCUCCCAACAGCCCCUUUCAGAGCAGAAGUCCUGCAUGAUCACAAACUCCAGGAGCAGCUAAUCAAGGUUUGCAGAGGGCUUCAAGAUUCUGGGGCUACUGAAAGAGCUCCAGAAAAACCCAGCCGUUGUUCCUGACAUGUCCGUGUGUGAGGAGAAAGCCCUCAUUGCCAGGGACAUGAGCCACAAUGGCCUAUUCUGCUCAGGGGAGCAAUCAGCGAGUUCUGGAGAAGCAAUUGAAGAGGAGGAUGGUCCACCCUCUCUCUCAAUGUUCUGAUGUUCACCUCUGGAGCCUCUGCCAUCCCUCCACUUGGCUUUUCCUGCCAGCCUGAAAUCUAGUUUCUGCAUGACAUCAAGACAAUUUACCCAGAAGCCAAUACUAGUGUUGUUGUCCUGUUGUAUCUGUCGCUGCACUCCUCCUACAAGGCUUUUAGAAUAUACAUGAUGGAGGGAAUUUUGCAAGCUCCGACCUUUGGAGUUUCUUAAAUGGUCACAAAUGUCAAAGUGAAAGGUUACGCUAUAAGGUGAUGACGGGUUUGCAUGUUUGUCCAGCUGUUGUUAAUGUUUUACUUAAUUUUAAGGUAAAACGUGGUUUUACAAGUCUGAAAAGUGCACCAGUGUUUAAAAAAUACUGUUCAUAUGGUUUUUACUAAAAGCCUUUAGCUGGUCCUGAGGAUAAAAUAUCAGAAGACUGUGCCAGAUGAUUUCAUGUUCUGUCAUUAAACUUCUGAAAUGGUUUUAGAUUUUAACAACUUUCAGGAAGUUGACAAAUUGUUAUCCAAGACUAUCAUAUGUUAUCUUCUAGGUUUGUCUUUAUGGCAAUAAAGAAAAUACUCAAAAUUAAAGUUUGAUACAUAAAUAUUAAACUGAAUUUAUCAUGGCCACUAAUGACAAAGAAAAAAAAGAAAAAAUAGAUAUUUUUGCCAAUAGGAGGGAAAAGUUUAACACAAGGAGAGGGCCAAAAUAAAAAUGUUUUUUAAAGAAAGAGAAUGAAUAAAUUUCGUCCCACUUCAUGAUUGUGUCCCACUUGUUGAUUAUUCACGAAAACAUGCAGUUUUAUAUGUUAAUGUUUGAAGCCUGAAAUUUGGCCAAAGGUUGAAAAGUUCAAGGGGGCUAAAUACUUUCAGAAGGUUCUGUAUGUGAGAUCAUGUUGGUCCAGACCACUCAUUUAUGACAGAAGCUCCAGAUGGAAGGGAGAGGUUGAAACUGAGUCUGUUUACACUGAACCUACUAGUGAGAAGGCCUUCCCAUAUAACUCACAGUAUAAGAUAUGUAAACUAUAUAGAAUUUCCCAUUAGAGUCAAUAAAGAAGCUGUUUUAUAUUA